AUUGAACGCUGGCGGCAGGCUUAACACAUGCAAGUCGAGCGGGGUGAUGGUGCUUGCACUAUCACUUAGCGGCGGACGGGUGAGUAAUGCUUAGGAAUCUGCCUAUUAGUGGGGGACAACAUCUCGAAAGGGAUGCUAAUACCGCAUACGUCCUACGGGAGAAAGCAGGGGAUCACUUGUGACCUUGCGCUAAUAGAUGAGCCUAAGUCGGAUUAGCUAGUAGGUGGGGUAAAGGCCUACCAAGGCGACGAUCUGUGGCGGGUCUGAGAGGAUGAUCCGCCACACUGGGACUGAGACACGGCCCAGACUCCUACGGGAGGCAGCAGUGGGGAAUAUUGGACAAUGGGGGGAACCCUGAUCCAGCCAUGCCGCGUGUGUGAAGAAGGCCUUAUGGUUGUAAAGCACUUUAAGCGAGGAGGAGGCUCUUUUGGUUAAUACCCAAGAUGAGUGGACGUUACUCGCAGAAUAAGCACCGGCUAACUCUGUGCCAGCCGCCGCAGUAA
rnacentral:rRNA from 1 species